GAACCCUUGGCGCAGUGGUAGCGCGUAUGAUUCCAGUUUACUGGAACGUCCAUAAGGUCGUCCGUUCGAUCCGGGCAGGGUUCA